GGUUAAGCGACUAAGCGUACACGGUGGAUGCCCUGGCAGUCAGAGGCGAUGAAGGACGUGCUAAUCUGCGAUAAGCGUCGGUAAGGUGAUAUGAACCGUUAUAACCGGCGAUUUCCGAAUGGGGAAACCCAGUGUGAUUCGUCACACUAUCAUUAACUGAAUCCAUAGGUUAAUGAGGCGAACCGGGGGAACUGAAACAUCUAAGUACCCCGAGGAAAAGAAAUCAACCGAGAUUCCCCCAGUAGCGGCGAGCGAACGGGGAGCAGCCCAGAGCCUGAAUCAGUGUGUGUGUUAGUGGAAGCGUCUGGAAAGGCGCGCGAUACAGGGUGACAGCCCCGUACACAAAAAUGCACAUGCUGUGAGCUCGAUGAGUAGGGCGGGACACGUGGUAUCCUGUCUGAAUAUGGGGGGACCAUCCUCCAAGGCUAAAUACUCCUGACUGACCGAUAGUGAACCAGUACCGUGAGGGAAAGGCGAAAAGAACCCCGGCGAGGGGAGUGAAAAAGAACCUGAAACCGUGUACGUACAAGCAGUGGGAGCACGCUUAGGCGUGUGACUGCGUACCUUUUGUAUAAUGGGUCAGCGACUUAUAUUCUGUAGCAAGGUUAACCGAAUAGGGGAGCCGAAGGGAAACCGAGUCUUAACUGGGCGUUAAGUUGCAGGGUAUAGACCCGAAACCCGGUGAUCUAGCCAUGGGCAGGUUGAAGGUUGGGUAACACUAACUGGAGGACCGAACCGACUAAUGUUGAAAAAUUAGCGGAUGACUUGUGGCUGGGGGUGAAAGGCCAAUCAAACCGGGAGAUAGCUGGUUCUCCCCGAAAGCUAUUUAGGUAGCGCCUCGUGAAUUCAUCUCCGGGGGUAGAGCACUGUUUCGGCAAGGGGGUCAUCCCGACUUACCAACCCGAUGCAAACUGCGAAUACCGGAGAAUGUUAUCACGGGAGACACACGGCGGGUGCUAACGUCCGUCGUGAAGAGGGAAACAACCCAGACCGCCAGCUAAGGUCCCAAAGUCAUGGUUAAGUGGGAAACGAUGUGGGAAGGCCCAGACAGCCAGGAUGUUGGCUUAGAAGCAGCCAUCAUUUAAAGAAAGCGUAAUAGCUCACUGGUCGAGUCGGCCUGCGCGGAAGAUGUAACGGGGCUAAACCAUGCACCGAAGCUGCGGCAGCGACGCUGAUGCGUUGUUGGGUAGGGGAGCGUUCUGUAAGCCUGCGAAGGUGUGCUGUGAGGCAUGCUGGAGGUAUCAGAAGUGCGAAUGCUGACAUAAGUAACGAUAAAGCGGGUGAAAAGCCCGCUCGCCGGAAGACCAAGGGUUCCUGUCCAACGUUAAUCGGGGCAGGGUGAGUCGACCCCUAAGGCGAGGCCGAAAGGCGUAGUCGAUGGGAAACAGGUUAAUAUUCCUGUACUUGGUGUUACUGCGAAGGGGGGACGGAGAAGGCUAUGUUGGCCGGGCGACGGUUGUCCCGGUUUAAGCGUGUAGGCUGGUUUUCCAGGCAAAUCCGGAAAAUCAAGGCUGAGGCGUGAUGACGAGGCACUACGGUGCUGAAGCAACAAAUGCCCUGCUUCCAGGAAAAGCCUCUAAGCAUCAGGUAACAUCAAAUCGUACCCCAAACCGACACAGGUGGUCAGGUAGAGAAUACCAAGGCGCUUGAGAGAACUCGGGUGAAGGAACUAGGCAAAAUGGUGCCGUAACUUCGGGAGAAGGCACGCUGAUAUGUAGGUGAAGCGACUUGCUCGUGGAGCUGAAAUCAGUCGAAGAUACCAGCUGGCUGCAACUGUUUAUUAAAAACACAGCACUGUGCAAACACGAAAGUGGACGUAUACGGUGUGACGCCUGCCCGGUGCCGGAAGGUUAAUUGAUGGGGUCAGCGCAAGCGAAGCUCUUGAUCGAAGCCCCGGUAAACGGCGGCCGUAACUAUAACGGUCCUAAGGUAGCGAAAUUCCUUGUCGGGUAAGUUCCGACCUGCACGAAUGGCGUAAUGAUGGCCAGGCUGUCUCCACCCGAGACUCAGUGAAAUUGAACUCGCUGUGAAGAUGCAGUGUACCCGCGGCAAGACGGAAAGACCCCGUGAACCUUUACUAUAGCUUGACACUGAACAUUGAGCCUUGAUGUGUAGGAUAGGUGGGAGGCUUUGAAGUGUGGACGCCAGUCUGCAUGGAGCCGACCUUGAAAUACCACCCUUUAAUGUUUGAUGUUCUAACGUUGACCCGUGAUCCGGGUUGCGGACAGUGUCUGGUGGGUAGUUUGACUGGGGCGGUCUCCUCCUAAAGAGUAACGGAGGAGCACGAAGGUUGGCUAAUCCUGGUCGGACAUCAGGAGGUUAGUGCAAUGGCAUAAGCCAGCUUGACUGCGAGCGUGACGGCGCGAGCAGGUGCGAAAGCAGGUCAUAGUGAUCCGGUGGUUCUGAAUGGAAGGGCCAUCGCUCAACGGAUAAAAGGUACUCCGGGGAUAACAGGCUGAUACCGCCCAAGAGUUCAUAUCGACGGCGGUGUUUGGCACCUCGAUGUCGGCUCAUCACAUCCUGGGGCUGAAGUAGGUCCCAAGGGUAUGGCUGUUCGCCAUUUAAAGUGGUACGCGAGCUGGGUUUAGAACGUCGUGAGACAGUUCGGUCCCUAUCUGCCGUGGGCGCUGGAGAACUGAGGGGGGCUGCUCCUAGUACGAGAGGACCGGAGUGGACGCAUCACUGGUGUUCGGGUUGUCAUGCCAAUGGCACUGCCCGGUAGCUAAAUGCGGAAGAGAUAAGUGCUGAAAGCAUCUAAGCACGAAACUUGCCCCGAGAUGAGUUCUCCCUGACUCCUUGAGAGUCCUGAAGGAACGUUGAAGACGACGACGUUGAUAGGCCGGGUGUGUAAGCGCAGCGAUGCGUUGAGCUAACCGGUACUAAUGAACCGUGAGGCUUAACCUUAC
rnacentral:rRNA from 1 species